rnacentral:rRNA from 1 species
GCUUCUUUCCUCCCGAGUGCUUGCACUCAAUUGGAAAGAGGAGUGGCGGACGGGUGAGUAACACGUGGGUAACCUACCCAUCAGAGGGGGAUAACACUUGGAAACAGGUGCUAAUACCGCAUAACAGUUUAUGCCGCAUGGCAUAAGAGUGAAAGGCGCUUUCGGGUGUCGCUGAUGGAUGGACCCGCGGUGCAUUAGCUAGUUGGUGAGGUAACGGCUCACCAAGGCCACGAUGCAUAGCCGACCUGAGAGGGUGAUCGGCCACACUGGGACUGAGACACGGCCCAGACUCCUACGGGAGGCAGCAGUAGGGAAUCUUCGGCAAUGGACGAAAGUCUGACCGAGCAACGCCGCGUGAGUGAAGAAGGUUUUCGGAUCGUAAAACUCUGUUGUUAGAGAAGAACAAGGACGUUAGUAACUGAACGUCCCCUGACGGUAUCUAACCAGAAAGCCACGGCUAACUACGUGCCAGCAGCCGCGGUAAUACGUAGGUGGCAAGCGUUGUCCGGAUUUAUUGGGCGUAAAGCGAGCGCAGGCGGUUUCUUAAGUCUGAUGUGUAAAGCCCCCGGCUCAACCGGUGGAGGGUCAUUGGAAACUGGGAUACUUGAGUGCAGAUAGAGGCCGAGUGGAAUUCCAUGUGUAACGGUGAUUAUGCUUAGAUAUAUGGAGGUACACCAUUGGCGAAGUCGGCUCUCUGGUCUGUAACUGACGCUGAGGCUCGUAAAGCGUGGGG